rnacentral:rRNA from 1 species
AUUGAACGCUGGCGGAAUGCUUUACACAUGCAAGUCGAGCGGCAGCGCGGGGGCAACCCUGGCGGCGAGCGGCGAACGGGUGAGUAACAUAUCGGAACGUACCCCGUCGUGGGGGAUAACACAGCGAAAGCUGUGCUAAUACCGCAUACGACCUGAGGGUGAAAGCGGGGGAUCGCAAGACCUCGCGCGAUGGGAGCGGCCGAUAUCGGAUUAGCUUGUUGGUGAGGUAAAGGCUCACCAAGGCGACGAUCCGUAGCUGGUCUGAGAGGACGACCAGCCACACUGGAACUGAGACACGGUCCAGACUCCUACGGGAGGCAGCAGUGGGGAAUUUUGGACAAUGGGGGCAACCCUGAUCCAGCCAUUCCGCGUGAGUGAAGAAGGCCUUCGGGUUGU